rnacentral:tRNA from 2 species
GGCGACGUGGCGGAGUGGUUACGCAGCGGACUGCAAAUCCGUGCACGCCGGUUCGAUUCCGGCCGUCGCCUCCA